rnacentral:rRNA from 1 species
UACGGAGGGGGCUAGCGUUGUCCGGAAUUAUUGGGCGUAAAGAGCUCGUAGGCGGUCUGUCGCGUCGGCUGUGAAAACCCGGGGCUCAACCCCGGGCCUGCAGUCGAUACGGGCAGACUAGAGUGUGGUAGGGGAGACUGGAAUUCCUGGUGUAGCGGUGAGAUGCGCAGAUAUCAGGAGGAACACCAAUGGCGAAGGCAGCUCGCUGGGACGGUACUGACGCUGAGACGCGAAAGCGUGGGGAGCAAACAGG